rnacentral:rRNA from 1 species
UACGAAGGGGGCUAGCGUUGCUCGGAAUCACUGGGCGUAAAGCGCACGUAGGCGGAUUUUUAAGUCAGGGGUGAAAUCCUGGAGCUCAACUCCAGAACUGCCUUUGAUACUGGCAAUCUUGAGGCUGGAAGAGGUUGGUAGAAUUCCCAGUGUAGAGGUGAAAUUCGUAGAUAUUGGGAAGAAUACCAGUGGCGAAGGCGGCCAGCUGGUCCAGAUCUGACGCUGAGGUGCGAAAGCGUGGGGAGCAAACAGG